rnacentral:rRNA from 1 species
UACAGAGGGGGCAAGCGUUAUUCGGAAUUAUUGGGCGUAAAGGGCGCGUAGGCGGCCUGGCAAGUGGAAGGUGAAAUCCCUCGGCUUAACCGAGGAACUGCCCUCCAAACUGCUUGGCUUGAGUCCGGGAGAGGUGAGUGGAAUUCCCAGUGUAGCGGUGAAAUGCGCAGAUAUCAGGAGGAACACCGGUGGCGAAGGCGGGACUCUGGGCCGAUACUGACGCUGGAGGAGCGAAAGCGUGGGGAGCAAACAGG